UACGUAGGCAGCGAGCGUUGUUCGGAGUUACUGGGCGUAAAGGGUGUGUAGGCGGUUGUUUAAGUUUGGUGUGAAAUCUCCCGGCUCAACUGGGAGGGUGCGCCGAAUACUGAAUGACUUCGAGUGCGGGAGAGGAGAGUGGAAUUCCUGGUGUAGCGGUGAAAUGCGUAGAUAUCAGGAGGAACACCGGUGGUGUAGACGGCUCCCUGGACCGUAACUGACGCUGAGACACGAAAGCGUGGGUAGCAAACAGG
rnacentral:rRNA from 1 species